CCCUUAGAUGUUCUGGGCCGCACGCGCGCUACACUGACGAAUGCAACGAGCUUAUAACCUUGGCCGAAAGGUCUGGGUAAUCUCCAAAUUUCGUCGUGAUGGGGAUAGAUUAUUGCAAUUAUUAAUCUUCAACGAGGAAUGCCUAGUAAGCGCAAGUCAUCAGCUUGCGUUGAUUACGUCCCUGCCCUUUGUACACACCGCCCGUCGCUCCUACCGAUUGAAUGGUCCGGUGAAGCGCUCGGACCGCGGCCUCUUGACGGUUUUCCGUCGAUUGGCUGUGGGAAGUUCGUUAAACCUUAUCAUUUAGAGGAAGGAGAANUCGUAACA
rnacentral:rRNA from 1 species